rnacentral:rRNA from 1 species
CGGAGGAUCCAAGCGUUAUCCGGAAUCAUUGGGUUUAAAGGGUCCGUAGGCGGGUUUAUAAGUCAGUGGUGAAAGCCCAUCGCUCAACGAUGGAACGGCCAUUGAUACUGUAGAUCUUGAAUUAUUAGGAAGUAACUAGAAUAUGUAGUGUAGCGGUGAAAUGCUUAGAGAUUACAUGGAAUACCAAUUGCGAAGGCAGGUUACUACUAAUGGAUUGACGCUGAUGGACGAAAGCGUGGGUAGCGAACAGGAUUAGAUACCCUGGUAGUCCACGCCGUAAACGAUGGAUACUAGCUGUUCGGAGCAAUCUGAGUGGCUAAGCGAAAGUGAUAAGUAUCCCACCUGGGGAGUACGUUCGUAAGAAUG